UGGGGAAUAUUGCACAAUGGGCGAAAGCCUGAUGCAGCGACGCCGCGUGAAGGAUGAAGUAUUUCGGUAUGUAAACUUCUAUCAGCAGGGAAGAAAAUGACGGUACCUGACUAAGAACGCCCCGGCUAACUACGUGCC
rnacentral:rRNA from 1 species